GUGCUUGCUUUGACAGCACAUUUACUAAAACUGGAAUAAUACAGAGAAGAUUAGAAUGGACCUGCACAAAUAUGUGCUGUAUUAUUUAAAAUCUCCAAAAAGGAAG